rnacentral:rRNA from 1 species
GACGAACGCUGGCGGCGUGCUUAGCACAUGCAAGUCGAACGGAAAGACCCUGCUUUUGUGGGGUGCUCGAGUGGCGAACGGGUGAGUAACACGUGAGUAACCUGCCCUUGACUUUGGGAUAACUUCAGGAAACUGGGGCUAAUACCGGAUAGGAGCUCCUGCUGCAUGGUGGGGGUUGGAAAGUUUCGGCGGUUGGGGAUGGACUCGCGGCUUAUCAGCUUGUUGGUGGGGUAGUGGCUUACCAAGGCUUUGACGGGUAGCCGGCCUGAGAGGGUGACCGGCCACAUUGGGACUGAGAUACGGCCCAGACUCCUACGGGAGGCAGCAGUGGGGAAUAUUGCACAAUGGGCGGAAGCCUGAUGCAGCAACGCCGCGUGCGGGAUGACGGCCUUCGGGUUGUAAACCGCCUUCGCCUGUGACGAAGCGUGAGUGACGGUAAUGGGUAAAGAAGCACCGGCUAACUACGUG